AGGACGAACGCUGGCGGCGUGCUUAACACAUGCAAGUCGAGCGGAAAGGCCCUUCGGGGUACUCGAGCGGCGAACGGGUGAGUAACACGUGAGCAAUCUGCCCUUAGCUUCGGGAUAGCCCCGGGAAACCGGGAUUAAUACCGAAUAUGACCUCGGCCGACAUCGGCCCUGGUGGAAAGUUUUUCGGCUAGGGAUGAACUCGCGGCCUAUCAGCUUGUUGGUGGGGUAAUGGCCUACCAAGGCGACGACGGGUAGCCGGCCUGAGAGGGCGACCGGCCACACUGGGACUGAGACACGGCCCAGACUCCUACGGGAGGCAGCAGUGGGGAAUAUUGCGCAAUGGGCGAAAGCCUGACGCAGCGACGCCGCGUGGGGGAUGAAGGCCUUCGGGUUGUAAACCCCUUUCAGCAGGGACGAAGCGAAAGUGACGGUACCUGCAGAAGAAGCGCCGGCUAACUACGUGCCAGCAGCCGC
rnacentral:rRNA from 1 species